rnacentral:lncRNA from 1 species
CAGGGAGCCUUAAACUUAUAUAGUCAGAAAGAACUAUAUAACUUCUUCCUGAAGAAACCCGUUGUCCCCUUGGACAUCCAGAAAAGAAUAAUCAUCGUGUUUCACUGUGAAUUCUCCUCAGAGAGGGGCCCCAGAAUGUGAGUGUCUACAUGGGAUAAGGUGGGCAAUAGAAAUGGAUUUUUUUUUCCCUAAUAAUGGGAAUUGAACCCAGGGGUGCUCUACGGAGCUAUAUCCCCAACCCUAUUUAUUUAUUUAUGAAUGAAUGAAUGAAUGAAUGAAAGAAAUAGGGUAUCACUGAGUCAUGCCAUCAUGCCUUGAAUUUGUGAUCCUCCUGCCUCUCCCUCCUGAGUCCCUGAGAUUAUAGGCAUGUUCCAUGGCAUCCAUGUAGAAAUGGAUGGAUCUUGAGGUGGACUUCUCACACCAGUUUAGAUGGAGAUUGACUGGAUGCUCUCCAAUACUAUUUGAAGAAUGUUAGGAAGGUUGAAAAUCGAAUAUGGAGCAAGCCAGUCACAAUGGUACACUCCUAUAAUCGAAGCCGCUUGAGAGGCUGAGGCAGGAAUAUCUCAAGUUCAAGGCUAGCCUUGGCAACUUAGCAAGACCCUGUCUCAAAAUAAAAAAUAACAAGAACUUGGGAUAUAGCCCAAUUGUAGAGCUCUGGAUUCAGUCCCUAGUGCCACAAAAGCAAUACAGGGAAAAGGAUUGAAAAUGAGACUGCAGAAGAGGAAAGGAAGAAGAGGGGUGAUAUUUGGACCUUGUUUUUGCAAACACAGAAGUUUCACUUUGUGUGUGUGUGGUGUUGGGGAUUGAACCCAUGGUUAUAUGCAUGCCCAGGGGAUUCUGACCUUGCUUCUUUCCAACCUACCCACCCCUACAAUCUCUUGAUUUUUCCUAAAGGUGCCGCUCUCUGAGAGAAGAAGACAGAGCUCUGAACCAGUAUCCUACCUUGUACUAUCCAGAGCUAUAUAUUCUCAAAGGCGGCUACAGAGACUUCUUUCCAGAAUAUGUGGUAAAGGGUAGGGCACAGGGUGGAAGGCAGACUAAGGGAAGUUAGCUCUAGCAUGCAACACACAGAGGCUGUAAAGCCUCUGAGAAAAAACUUCUGUUUCUUUUUAGUCAUAGCCAGCAGCAGUAUCUCUGUUAUACUUAGUAGGCAGAGUUCAGGAAUCUGGGGAAUCCCUUACUCUAUUCUCUGCCUUUCAGGAGCUGUGUGAACCCCAGAGCUACUGCCCUAUGCAUCACCAGGACCACCAGGCUGAGCUGCUGAGGUGUCAAAGCCAGAGGAAAGCUCAGGAAGGAAAGCGGCAACUGAAGGAACAGAUUGCUCUCCUAUUGAAGGACAUGGACCUGUGAUAGUGGAUGAAGAAGUGGCAGCAAGCCGGGUGCAGGGGCACGUGCCUGUAUUCCCAGUGGCUCAGGAGGCUG